rnacentral:lncRNA from 1 species
CACGGUGAAACUGCUGGAAACGGGGGGAACCCAGGAGGGAGAGAGGUCCCGGUGGGCUGGGGAAGCCGCUGCAGCUGCAGCCGCUGCCGGUAGCAACACGCCCGCUUUGGAGCCGGUGUCCGGCCCCUGUGCAUUCCUUGCGGUGCAUCCCGGCUCUCCCCGUGCCCUCCGGGCUCGGCUGACACACGUGCCUUGGCCACACGUGGCAGCCGGGGAGGCACUCCUCAAGGAUGGGCUCCCCAGCUCUGAGCUGGUACCGGCUGCUGAGGGAGCAGAGCAUCCCCGGAGGAAGGCACAGGAGUUGGGGUUCCAGAGUGAGAAUGGGCUCCACAAGGGCUGAGACCCCGCAGGAGCUCAGCCAGGGCUGCCCAGCCCGAUGCUGCAAACAGAUCUCGGGGCUGGCCCAGCUCUCACCCUGCUGCUCUUCACCUGGAGAGAGCCAGGAGAGAAAAUCCCAUCUCCUGUCCCCCUCCUCGGCAGGCCUGUGCCUCCUGCGAGCAGCAGGUUGGGCCGGGCUGGGCUGCAAACAUCCAUCCCUGCCUGCUCGGCACUGCCCCGACUUGCCUGCUCCGCGGGUCCUGCGGCGGCAGCAGCGGCUCCCGCCCGCCCCUCCACCGCCACUGACUCACCGCCCAAAAAUGGGGAGGAGGGGGAGCUGCCAGCCGGGCGGGAAGGGGCUGCGAGGUCCCCAAGGGAACCUGUGUGCUGCUCUCAGCAGCCAGAGCAGCCAGAAGCCCCCCUGCCCCACGGGGCUGCUGCUCUCCCCACUCUGGGGGUCCCUCCCAGCACCAUCCAGGCCUGGGGACUGCUCUGCUUGAUCACACCAGUGGGGUGCACCGUGAACCCCGUUCCUGAGAGCCCCAUGGAGCUGUCAGGACGCGGAUGGACCCUGAUAGAGCUGUGCUCCAGUAUCACAGAAUAUUCUGAUUUGGAAGGGACCCUAUCCAGCCCUUCUGCUCCAGCAUCCUGUCCCUCUGCUCCCUUUGCAACCUUGAACCCUUUAGGGUGUCUGGGAGCCCCUAAAGGCAACCAAUGUGCUUCUCAAAUCCUUGUCUCAGCACAGCAUCCACGCCCUGCAACACCCCGGGGGACCCGGAGCACUGCAGGCAGGGUAAGAGCAAAAAUAAUAUUGACAGUGGCUCUGGCCACACAGCCCCUGCUGCCAGCCUGCCCUGGGCCACACCUGGGGGGCUGCUCCAGCCAGGAAAACAUCUCCACCAAGCAAAUAAACACCACCCCAUCCAUGCUGCUGGCUCGGCUCUCAAACACGAUCCCACGCAGAGCCUGAACUAAAAUUAAUUUCAACUGGGAAAACAA